UUAAAAAUAAGCUAAAUAAAGCUUUUGGGCUCAUACCUCAAAUAUAAAGAUUUCUCUUUUUUUUAA
rnacentral:tRNA from 3 species